rnacentral:rRNA from 1 species
UACGUAGGGGGCUAGCGUUGUUCGGAAUUACUGGGCGUAAAGCGCGUGUAGGCGGUUGUUCAAGUCGGGUGUGAAAGCCUUGAGCUCAACUCAAGAAAUGCACUCGAUACUGGAUGACUUGAGGACCGGAGAGGAUAGUGGAAUUCCCAGUGUAGUGGUGAAAUACGUAGAGAUUGGGAAGAACACCAGUGGCGAAGGCGGCUAUCUGGACGGUUUCUGACGCUAAGACGCGAAAGCGUGGGGAGCAAACAGG